rnacentral:lncRNA from 1 species
UUUUAGCUAGGUGGAGUCGACAAGGCUUGAGCUUGUUACAAUGGUUUGUGUUGAUGAUGAUGAUCAUGAUGAUGAUGAUGAUGAUGGUUGUGGUGGUGGUUUCGACAAGGUAUGUGAAGUGAGAGGAGGUUAAUUCUUUUUUUUCUGUAAUAUCGAGCAAUAUUGCUUUAGAAAAAUACAGUUUGUGUAAUGAUGUCUUAUAAAUUUAAGAACUUUACUUUAGAAUCUGUGUGAGUUCAUCAAUAAAGAAACGUGAAAGAGAAGAUAACCUCUAAACUUCCUCGUUUCGUUUUGAUAUGCAACAUUUAUAAUGCAUAUCAAGGAAAUUAAUCAGUUGCGAGAGAAGAAUUGAAGGUUUUGUUUCAUUCACCAUGAAUGGAGGAGAUCUUGAUACAUCUUAUAUAUACAACAAACUGAUGAACGGAAAGCAAAUCAUGAAUCCACAACAUGACAUAAUGAAUACAUUAACACGUAACAAUUUUUUUACAUAAACAUAUAUUUUGUUUGUAAAAAAACAUG